rnacentral:rRNA from 1 species
AUUGAACGCUGGCGGCAGGCUUAACACAUGCAAGUCGAGCGAGCGGCGGACGGGUGAGUAAUGUCUGGGAAACUGCCUGAUGGAGGGGGAUAACUACUGGAAACGGUAGCUAAUACCGCAUACCAUCAGAUGUGCCGAGAUGGGAUUGGCUUGUAGGUGGGGUAAUGGCGCACAUAGGCGACGAUCCCUAGCUGGUCUGAGAGGAUGACCAGCCACACGUGAUCUGAGAUACGGGCCGUACUCCUACGGGUGGCAGCAGUGGAGAAUAUUGCACAAUGCGCGCGAGCCUGAUGCAGCCGUGCCGCGUGUGUGAAGAAGGCCUUCGAAUUGUAAAGCACUUUCUACGAGGAGGCGUUACUCGCAGAAGAAGCACCGGCUAACUCCGUGCCAGCAGCCGCGGUAAUUC